rnacentral:rRNA from 1 species
UACGUAGGGUGCAAGCGUUAAUCGGAAUUACUGGGCGUAAAGGGAGCGUAGGCGGACAUUUAAGUCAGGGGUGAAAUCCCGGGGCUCAACCUGGGAAUUGCGUUGGAGACUGCAAGGCUAGAAUCUGGCAGAGGGGGGUAGAAUUCCACGUGUAGCAGUGAAAUGCGUAGAGAUGUGGAGGAACACCGAUGGCGAAGGCAGCCCCCUGGGUCAAGAUUGACGCUCAUGCACGAAAGCGUGGGGAGCAAACAGG